rnacentral:rRNA from 1 species
AUUGAACGCUGGCGGCAGGCCUAACACAUGCAAGUCGAACGGUAACAGGAAGAAGCUUGCUUCUUUGCUGACGAGUGGCGGACGGGUGAGUAAUGUCUGGGAAACUGCCUGAUGGAGGGGGAUAACUACUGGAAACGGUAGCUAAUACCGCAUAACGUCGCAAGACCAAAAAGGGGGACCUUCGGGCCUCUUGCCAUCGGAUGUGCCCAGAUGGGAUUAGCUAGUAGGUGGGGUAACGGCUCACCUAGGCGACGAUCCCUAGCUGGUCUGAGAGGAUGACCAGUCACACUGGAACUGAGACACGGUCCAGACUCCUACGGGAGGCAGCAGUGGGGAAUAUUGCACAAUGGGCGCAAGCCUGAUGCAGCCAUGCCGCGUGUAUGAAGAAGGCCUUCGGGUUGUAAAGUACUUUCAGCGGGGAGGAAGGGAGUAAAGUUAAUACCUUGGCUCAUUGACGUUACCCGCAGAAGAAGCACCGGCUAACUCCGUG